rnacentral:rRNA from 1 species
UACGAAGGGGGCUAGCGUUGUUCGGAAUUACUGGGCGUAAAGAGUGUGUAGGCGGUGCUCUAAGUCUGGUGUGAAAUCUCCCGGCUCAACUGGGAGGGUGCGCCGGAAACUGGAGUGCUUGAGGGUGGGAGAGGUAAGCGGAAUUCCUGGUGUAGCGGUGAAAUGCGUAGAUAUCAGGAGGAACACCUGUGGUGUAGACAGCUUACUGGACCACUUCUGACGCUGAGACACGAAAGCGUGGGUAGCAAACAGG